AUGGUCGACCCGGGGACUUUAAGCCUACCGAGGUUUUACUGUGACAGCUCCGUGAGGAUGUGGUUUGUUGAGUUGUUUUUAUGUGUUUAUUAUGUCCAGGCGGUGGUGGUGAGCUGGACGAGGGGACAACCAGAGAAGGUGGUGUAGGGUACCGACAGUUGAAACGAGCAGGGGGACAGGACUUUGGUCCUUUCGGCCCGACGGCUCUCCUUACCUCUGUAGGAGGUAAACAGCAGUCUGGCUUAUUUAUAUAAAGAGGAGAAGCGAACGGAAACGACUGGAAGGCGAAAUAAAAGAAACAGCUGAAGGCGAACGAAAAAGGGGAGCGACAUCGCAGACUAGCUACCCAAGCAGGGAGCAGACCCCUUUAGAGGCCCGUUGGAAGAAGGGACAGCAGGAGUCAAAGAGGAGGACUCUUCAGGAGGAGACACUUAUUUAUCUAAAACAUGGCAGAUGCAGAGCUGGACUUCCAGACGGGUGAUGCCGGUGCUUCAGCCACCUACCCCAUGCAGUGCUCUGCCCUGCGUAAAAACGGUUUUGUGGUGCUCAAAGGGCGUCCCUGCAAGAUCGUUGAGAUGUCCACCUCCAAGACCGGAAAGCAUGGUCACGCCAAGGUUCACCUGGUCGGCAUCGACAUCUUCUCCGGUAAGAAGUAUGAAGACAUCUGUCCCUCCACUCAUAACAUGGAUGUCCCCAACAUCAAAAGAAUGGAUUACCAGGAAAAGCAGUCUCAGAGUUCCGGAUGUGUCCUGUGUCAUCCCACCCCAAUCACUGACAUGGAGAAGUGGAAUCGGCCCAACAAGAACAGCCUGUUUGGGUCACAACUAUCUCUGACUCAUCCUGACCACUGUUGCUGCCGUCUCCCAGCUCAUCGGGAUCCAGGACGGAUACUUGUCCCUGCUCCAGGACAGCGGGGAAGUCCGGGAGGACCUGAAGAUUCCAGAGGGAGACCUUGGAAAAGAAAUAGAGAGCAAACAUGAAGCUGGAGAAGAGAUUCUGAUCACCGUUCUAAAUGCUAUGGAAGAGGAAGCCGCCAUCGGCAUCAAAGCCUUGGGGAAAUGAGCCCGAGCAGGGGCAAUCAAGACCAAUGGAAACGAAGGGAGCUAAUGACUCGUCUGCGUUUUUUUUUCAUUCUCUCCAGUUUUCUGACCCUCCUGUGGGCUCGGUCACAGUUCACGUCCCGACUACGUGAUCAUAAACCAGAACAGGUGUGCAUAUUUAAAAUAGAUGAUCACCUUUAGAAAGAAGAGGGACAGUGUUUUCUUUUUAUUGAUCCCUGAUUUAUGAAGGGCUUCAUCUCCAGUGGUCUGUUCAGCAGGCGGAUUCGUAUUUCUGCACAACACCUGGUCUGAAGCAGCUCCAUCACCUGGCGCCUAUGCGGAACAAUGCACCCUUCCUUUUGUUUUGUGUCCAAAAACAACUCCUGGGAAGCUCUUUGCAGAAACUUUGGGAAGAAAUGACUCCAACCUGGAACAGAUUUGUUUUCAGAGCAGCAGUUUACUUAACCAGGCCCGACUUUGCAGGACGUCUCUGUGGGCAAACAAUAAAAAGGAAAGAAUGGCAAAAACA